GCACAAGUAACUAUAAUGAAAGGGCUACAGGGUGCACCCAGGAGCCAUCGAAAUGCUCUCAGGGCGCUCAUUCAUUCAACAACCAUCAGCCCCUACCGUGCCAGGGGAGUAGAUCCUCGCGCCUCCGCGAAGCCCCAGACAGGAGACCCCCUCGCCGGAGAAGGAAAGACUGUGGCUUGCCAGUGUGUCUUCCAUGGAAUUGUCAGUUUGCUGCUUCUUCCAGGAGGAUGUAUAUCAUUAAACAGUUAGUUCUGCCUUCCCCUCAAGGUAUUGGGUUUUGGUUGCCAAAUAAUCAUGCUUAAUUAUGUGCAAAAUAAAGAUUGUAAAUCAGUAGAGCUGCCCUGCCAAGUAUUUUGUCUCAUCAGUUUUUUCUUUUUCAUUUUUCGGUACCAAGAAUCGAACUCACAACCUCAAGCUUAGCAGGCAAGCACUUGCACUAAAUCCCCAGCCCUUUGUCUCACCAGUUUUAAAAGCCUGUUUCUGAAAACUGCUUCUCACACGUAAGCUAUGAAUUAUCUUUCCUUGUUGUAAAGAAA
rnacentral:lncRNA from 1 species